rnacentral:rRNA from 1 species
UACAGAGGGGGGCGAGCGUUGUUCGGAAUUACUGGGCGUAAAGGGCGCGUAGGCGGCCUUCUAAGUCGAACGUGAAAUCCCCGGGCUCAACCCGGGGAACUGCGUCCGAUACUGGGAGGCUUGAAUCCGGGAGAGGGAUGUGGAAUUCCAGGUGUAGCGGUGAAAUGCGUAGAUAUCUGGAGGAACACCGGUGGCGAAGGCGGCAUCCUGGACCGGUAUUGACGCUGAGGGCGCGAAA